GACAAAACACACUUAUCUGACAGAAUGCUACCUUUAACAUUAGGAUAUUUGCACCAUGUGUGUAAUCUACCUGAAAACUUUGACAUCUGUGACCUUGUCUUGUUUAACAGAACAUAAAGUGCCACCAGAAUUAACAGAAUGAAGAGCCCACGGUUGACUGGAACACACAAGAGAGUUUUCACUACAUUUCAGCCAUUUUUAAGUGCUGUAAUGUAUUAUGGUCAGCAGAGGUCAAAAGAGCUCAAAACAUGAGAUCAUGAAAAUAAAAAUUCAAUGCAGUGCGUAAUACUCCCGUGUUUGAAUUUAAGCAGUCUGCCUGUAAAUCUGAAGGUGAAUGAAUAGAGUUAUUGUCUUGGAAAAAUGGGAGUCGACUCUGAAUCACGAAACCGAGUCAUCACUAGUCUGAUUCGCCAUCCGCCGCCGAUUUACGUCACUACUGUAGUUCCCGGCUGCAUUUUGUUAGAACUGCCCGUGAAAACUUCACUCAUCUUCCAAAAACAAGCUGUCUCUCGUUUCGGAAGGAUGCGUCCUCCUGAGGUCUCACUUGAAGCCUGCUACGUCAUCGAGGACGUCUCGUUUCAUAAUAGCAGGUAGGACACGCCGUAUGCGACCUACUUUCACGAGAAUGAUGUUGCUAAUUAACAUUAUUGGUGCAUUUUUUGAUAGGUUGGUUCAUUAAAUAUACUGUUGGGCUGUUUUAAUUUACAUAAACGUGUCAUAUUCUCGAAAAUAAAAUAUCAUUUUUCUGGCUCCGUAUUUGUUUAACACAGUCAGACACGUCGCGACAGGAGCAGGUGACGCAAAUGACGCAAUCAUGAAAUCCUUCUCAUUUCUGCUCGCUUCUUGGACUUAGUCCGCGACUUUAAAGGUUGCAGCCCCUGAAUUGGGACACAGCUCGUGUUGGUUGCUAGAGAUAACCCACAAUUCUUUGCGUGUUACGUCAAUAAACGGCAACAGCUGCACAAUUGUUUACAAUUUGUGUCACGUUUUUAUAAUCUUAGCAGGCAUAUGUAGUAAAUAGGUUUACAAGAAUUUAGUGAUUUUUAAACGUUUUAAAACAGUAAGGCAUUCUUUUUCUUUUGGCAUUGUUAAUUGUAUAAAGUAACCAACUUUUUACCUCUUGAAUCAUAUAGAAAUCAUUUUAAUUAAUUUGACAGGUGUGCGAGUGCAACAUGUUGUCAUAGCAACGUGGUACUUCCGGUUUCCUGUCCUGCCAGUAUGUCGUCCGUCUCGUUUAAUUGUAAGUUGAGAAUCUUAAGAGGAUGAGACGAGACCUCUGGAGGACACAAGGACGCAGCCUCACGAAACGAGACACAGCUUGUCAAUCACAUCAGACUAGAGCAGCAGAAAGGAGGAUUAGACAGAUGAAUCACCGAACGAAUCAUUUGAGAGUCAGUCAAGACGUAAGGUUGCAUCAGGACCCAGAUAUCCAUAAUUUUCUCCAGUCCAAAGUGUUCAACGCCCUAAAGAAAGAGAAGCAAAGUCGCCACAGCCCACAGAUACUCUGAGAUUCCAUCUGCUGUCAGAAGACAUCCUGACCUCCGCAAUAGAGCCACCAAAUCCAGGACGUCUUUCACUCCGUCAGACAGUAUCAACAUCAGGGCCGUGGCAG